UAUUAACGCUGGCGGCGUGCCUAAUACAUGCAAGUCGAGCGAACAGACGAGGAGCUUGCUCCUCUGACGUUAGCGGCGGACGGGUGAGUAACACGUGGAUAACCUACCUAUAAGACUGGGAUAACUUCGGGAAACCGGAGCUAAUACCGGAUAAUAUAUUGAACCGCAUGGUUCAAUAGUGAAAGACGGUUUUGCUGUCACUUAUAGAUGGAUCCGCGCCGCAUUAGCUAGUUGGUAAGGUAACGGCUUACCAAGGCAACGAUGCGUAGCCGACCUGAGAGGGUGAUCGGCCACACUGGAACUGAGACACGGUCCAGACUCCUACGGGAGGCAGCAGUAGGGAAUCUUCCGCAAUGGGCGAAAGCUUGACGGAGCAGCGCCGCGUGAGUGAUGAAGGUCUUCGGAUCGUAAAACUCUGUUAUUAGGGAAGAACAAAUGUGUAAGUAACUAUGCACGUCUUGACGGUACCUAAUCAGAAAGCCACGGCUAACUACGUG
rnacentral:rRNA from 1 species